GAUGAACGCUGGCGGCGUGCCUAAUACAUGCAAGUCGAGCGAACAGACGAGGAGCUUGCUCCUCUGACGUUAGCGGCGGACGGGUGAGUAACACGUGGAUAACCUACCUAUAAGACUGGGAUAACUUCGGGAAACCGGAGCUAAUACCGGAUAAUAUAUUGAACCGCAUGGUUCAAUAGUGAAAGACGGUUUUGCUGUCACUUAUAGAUGGAUCCGCGCCGCAUUAGCUAGUUGGUAAGGUAACGGCUUACCAAGGCAACGAUGCGUAGCCGACCUGAAAGAGUGAUAGGCCACACUGGAACUGAGACACGGUCCAGACUCCUACGGGAGGCAGCAGUAGGGAAUCUUCCGCAAUGGGCGAAAGCCUGACGGAGCAACGCCGCGUGAGUGAUGAAGGUCUUCGGAUCGUAAAACUCUGUUAUUAGGGAAGAACAAAUGUGUAAGUAACUAUGCACGUCUUGACGGUACCUAAUCAGAAAGCCACGGCUAACUACGUG
rnacentral:rRNA from 1 species